GAGAGCAGUGGCUCUGAGCAGAAGAUGGAGAUGGUCAAGGUAGGGCCCUGGGGCCAGACACCCAAGGUUUCAAAAGACUGUGACUUCCACCUUGGUUUGCUCGGUCUGAUGAAGGAACUUUGAGCUGUGAGCUGCACUGUGAACUUUGCUGUGAGCUGCCCUGUGAUGGGAGAGGAGGCCUCCGCCUCACAGCCCUGGAGGACCUCAAUGCUGCCAACGUGUGACCAGAUGCAGAUCCUUCUCCAGUCAAGCCUGGACAUGACAUGACAGCAGCCCUGGGGACCUUGAUGCUGUGGCCUGUGCAAGACCCUGAGCCAGCCGCACCCAGAUCCCUCACCCACAGAAACUGCCAGAUUUUAAGUCUUCUGCUUUAUUCAAAGGUUUUACUGGAGCAACGCCACCUGCAUUUGCUCACAGAUCGCCC
rnacentral:lncRNA from 10 species